CUCUUAUCAAGAGCAGGUGGAGGGACUAGCCCGAUGACACCCGGCAACCGACAGACCUUAUGCAGCGCAGCAGCGCGAAGUAAGGAACGCACGGUGCUAAUUCUUGCGGAAGCGAUGCGCUUCUGAGAGAUGAGAG
rnacentral:ncRNA from 2 species